GACAGAGGGUGCAAACGUUGUUCGGAAUUACUGGGCGUAAAGCGCGUGUAGGCGGCCCUGCAAGUCGGAUGUGAAAUCCCACGGCUCAACCGUGGAAGUGCAUUCGAAACUGCAGGGCUAGAGUCCUGGAGAGGAAGGUGGAAUGCUUGGUAUAGAGGUGAAAUUCGUAGAUAUCAAGCGGAACACCGGUGGCGAAGGCGGCCUUCUGGACAGUGACUGACGCUGAGACGCGAAAGCGUGGGGAGCAAACAGG
rnacentral:rRNA from 1 species